CGUAACACGUGGGUAAUCUGCCUCAGGGUUGAGGAUAACCUUCCGAAAGGUCGGCUAAUACUCGGUAAGCUUACGGUGACUUCGGUCGCUGUUAGAAAACUAGACCUCUAUUUAUAAGUUUAGGCCCCAGAGAUGAGCCCGCGGCCCAUCAGCUAGUUGGCGGGGUAACGGCCCACCAAGGCGACGACGGGUAGCUGGUCUGAGAGGACGAUCAGCCACACUGGAACUGAGACACGGUCCAG
rnacentral:rRNA from 1 species